rnacentral:rRNA from 1 species
GAUGAACGCUGGCGGCGUGCCUAAUACAUGCAAGUCGAGCGAACAGAUGAGGAGCUUGCUCCUCUGACGUUAGCGGCGGACGGGUGAGUAACACGUGGAUAACCUACCUAUAAGACUGGGAUAACUUCGGGAAACCGGAGCUAAUACCGGAUAAUAUAUUGAACCGCAUGGUUCAAUAGUGAAAGACGGUUUUGCUGUCACUUAUAGAUGGAUCCGCGCCGCAUUAGCUAGUUGGUAAGGUAACGGCUUACCAAGGCAACGAUGCGUAGCCGACCUGAGAGGGUGAUCGGCCACACUGGAACUGAGACACGGUCCAGACUCCUACGGGAGGCAGCAGUAGGGAAUCUUCCGCAAUGGGCGAAAGCCUGACGGUGCAACGCCGCGUGAGUGAUGAAGGUCUUCGGAUCGUAAAACUCUGUCAUUAGGGAAGAACAAAUGUGUAAGUAACUAUGCACGUCUUGACGGUACCUAAUCAGAAAGCCACGGCUAACUACGUG